GUCCGAUUAGCUCAGUUGGUAGAGCAUCUGACUUGCAAGCAGAAGGUCACAGGUUCGAGUCCUGUAUCGGGCU
rnacentral:tRNA from 1 species